AGCAGCCGCGGUAAUUCCAGCUCCAAUAGCGUAUAUUAAAGUUGUUGCAGUUAAAAAGCUCGUAGUUGAAUUUCGGGAUUAGUGCGCUGGUCAUGCCUUUGGUAUGUACUGGUGUUACUGAUUUCUACCUUCUGAAGAACCGUUAUGUCAUUUAUUUGGUGUGGCGGGAAAUCAGGACUGUUACUUUGAAAAAAUUAGAGUGUUUAAAGCAGGCUCGCGCUUGAAUACAUUAGCAUGGAAUAAUGAAAUAGGACGUUUGACCCUAUUUUGUUGGUUCCUAGGAUCGACGUAAUGAUUAAUAGGGAUAGUUGGGGGCAUUAGUAUUCAAUUGUCAGAGGUGAAAUUCUUGGAUUUAUUGAAGACUAACUACUGCGAAAGCAUUUGCCAAGGAUGUUUUCAUUAAUCAAGAACGAGAGUUAGGGGAUCGAAGACGAUCAGAUACCGUCGUAGUCUUAACCAUAAACUAUGCCGACUAGGGAUCGGAUGAUGUUAUUUUUAAUGACUCA
rnacentral:rRNA from 1 species